rnacentral:rRNA from 1 species
UACAGAGGGUGCGAGCGUUGUUCGGAAUUAUUGGGCGUAAAGGGCGCGUAGGCGGUGCGGUAAGUCACCUGUGAAAUCUCCUGGCUCAACUGGGAGCUUGCAGGCGAAACUGCCGUGCUGGAGUGUGGGAGAGGUGCGUGGAAUUCCCGGUGUAGCGGUGAAAUGCGUAGAUAUCAGGAGGAACACCAGUGGCGAAGGCGGCUUUCUGGACGGUAACUGACGCUGAGACGCGAAAGCGUGGGGAGCAAACAGG